rnacentral:lncRNA from 10 species
CAAAAGAAAGCCCAUCUGUAGUGAGAAAUCGGAACGUAACCCCUUGUAAGGAAUUUUCUUUCUUUGUAUGGACUACCAAGAUGGAAACUUCCAAAGUGAGUUCCUCUGCUCCUGCCGAGGUUGGAAUUGACAUUUCUUCUCACAAUUACUGAGCUGCAGUAUUUUCCCGGACCGGGGUAGCUUCUGGCCUUCAGAGCCCAAAUGCCCUCCCAUUUUCGACUGAAGAAAGAAAAGGACGAAUCCCUUCAAACACGAUCUCUUUCAUGAGCUCUUUGAUAGACUCUUUUUCUCCUCCUCUGCGCCAAAAUGAAUCCAACAGAAUUUCCGUGGCUCCCUCUCCUUACCCUGACCCCAUGUUAAUUGUUGCAACAAACGUUGCAACUCCAGUGUGAGCCAGAAGACAUGGAUGUCAUCGGGGGUCCCCAGUGUCUGAGGAAAGGAGAGGGGAAGGAUGACCCGUCACGGUUCAGAAGACAGAGACAAGCCUGCAAGUGUGCAAAGAGGGAAAAGACUGCAGGAAAUUCCACUUGAAAUGGGCCAUAAAAGUGCAUCUUUUGUAAUAUUUCAAUGUCUCUCUCAAUAUUUCCUCUAAUCACAACUUUCCAGUUUCAAGAACAAACCUCACUCCUUACUGACCAGUCUCAAUAUUUGUUUGUUUUCUAUAAAUUAAAAUCCAGUGUGUUGUCUUUAUCUGCAAUCCCUUCAUUAGUUCUUGUCUCUAAAAUCAACAUACUAUCAUAGUUAUCAAGACCAUGGGGUCAACCAAGAAACUGAUAGUAGCAUGUGUCGUCUAAAGAUGAGUGCUGAUAACUGGAAGGUCAGGUUUGAAAAACCCUUGUAAUCUGUCUGAGAAUUGAUUUGUCUGUAGCAAGCUCCCAUAACUUUUGAAGUGGAAACAUUAAAACUCUAAAACAAGAUCAGUCUAAACCAGGGAUUGACACUGUUUCAGAAUUAGGAUGCCAAGAUGCUGAGCACAUUCUUUUCCUAUCCUGCUGGCCGGGGAGCUAACACCACAAACAGUUUCCCCUUUUCCACAAUAAGCUUUCACCAUUCAUCAGGAUGCCGUUGACUGGAACAUGUUUCUCCCAUAAAUGCACAUGAUUGUGCUUUACUUCUACGUGGAGGCAUCAUUAAUGCCCUAAGGGAAUAUGAACUUUAGUGGAGGAUAGGGCACUGGAGUAGGUAAAUUUACUUUAGUGGGUAACUUUUGUUAAGUGGAAGGCAACAGAGUCACAAGGCAUCUGGAAGUUGGGAUUUGAAAAGGCGCACGGACAAAGAUGACAAAUUCCAGGCUUCCCUUUGCCAAAUGUCUUUUUGGGCCACACUUUCUGGUAUCUACUUUAAAUAUAAGUAUGAGAUCUUUGUGCCUGCUCUGUGUUUCCACUGAGGACUAAAUAUGACAGAAGUAUAUUUUAAUGCCAUUGUUACCUAUGGCCUCUGCAUUUCCUUCCUCCCUCCUUCCCUCCCUUUCUUUCUCCCUCCCUCCUUUUCUUCUUUUUUUUUUUAUUUCUUUUGCCUAAGAGAAUGGAAUCAAAUGCUGCUAGGCGAAUCACUGCGUUUAAUUAUCUUGUUCUUGCUCUUUCUGCUUUGCUCUUAAUAUCUAAUCGUAUCCUCCUGUUUAUUCUCUUCCUCUUUCCUAAGAACAGCACAUGAAUAAACUUU